GAAGCUGUUCGAAGAGGCACGUUAUUGAUUUCCGUUUAAGGCUUGGAGGUGCCUUAAUCUUACGCAAUUGUUUGGCUGCGACUAGAUGAGCAACAAGUGCGAGUUGCGGAGCUUUAUCCGGUUGAAAGAACGUUUUAGAAAACAUUUAGGGCAAAAGAUGCCUGGAUAUCAAACGAAGCUGCGAUGAAAACAAAACUUUCUUUCCGAAAAUAAAGGAAAACAAAUCAUAUUGGCGUCAUGUUUUGUUGGCAAAAUUGGUCAAUAAAUCAAAUUUUUAAGGUGUGAGUGAAUGAAACAUUUCACAUUCGUACCAUUGCUUUUAUUGUUUCACCCAAAAUACCGGAGUAUAAAUGAGUUGGCCCCCAUUUCUAUUCCGUUUAUGUCAGCAAGUUAAUCGCCGACCAUCAAUUAACUACUAAUACGCUUCUGAACGAUAGCCAAUAAUUACCCAUUGCAAAUCGGAUAAUAGCUGUAAUGGACAUCGACGCCCACGAGCACACCUGACAUUUAAGACUCCUAAGAGUAUAUUAAUUAUUACAUCAUUAAAGGUUUGGGGCUAUGCUUUUCACUUUCACUUAACUAAUCGGUCAUAACGCAGGCUGAUUUAUAUCACAAUUAAACGUAACCGUUGCCGCAACACGUUUUUGGUACUAUGAAAUUCUGCCACUGUAAGUCCCUUUUAUUAAGUUUAUCUUAAUCUUUGCUUAAAGUUACGGUGACGAUUUGAUGAUUUUCAGGAACAACAUAAUAUAAAUUUAAGUAACGCUUGUAUACAGUUUAGUAGUCGUUAUUUACAAUAAAUAAUUCAUAUAAAUUUAAGUAA